UACGUAGGGUGCGAGCGUUAAUCGGAAUCACUGGGCGUAAAGCGCACGUAGGCGGACUCUUAAGUCGGUGGUGAAAUCCUGGAGCUCAACUCCAGAACUGCCUUCGAUACUGAGAGUCUCGAGUCCGGGAGAGGUGAGUGGAACUGCGAGUGUAGAGGUGAAAUUCGUAGAUAUUCGCAAGAACACCAGUAGCGAAGGCGGCUCACUGGCCCGGUACUGACGCUGAGGUGCGAAAGCGUGGGGAGCAAACAGG
rnacentral:rRNA from 1 species